CCUACGGGGGGCUGCAGUGGGGAAUAUUGGACAAUGGGCGAAAGCCUGGUCCAGCCAUGCCGCGUGUGUGAAGAAGGCCUUCGGGUUGUAAAGCACUUUCAGUGGGGAAGAAAGCCUUGGGACUAAUACCCUCGAGGAAGGACAUCACCCACAGAAGAAGCACCGGCUAACUCCGUGCCAGCAGCCGCGGUAAUACGGAGGGUGCGAGCGUUAAUCGGAAUUACUGGGCGUAAAGCGCGCGUAGGCGGUCUGAUAAGCCGGUUGUGAAAGCCCCGGGCUCAACCUGGGAACGGCAUCCGGAACUGUCAGGCUAGAGUGCAGGAGAGGAAGGUAGAAUUCCCGGUGUAGCGGUGAAAUGCGUAGAGAUCGGGAGGAAUACCAGUGGCGAAGGCGGCCUUCUGGUCUGACACUGACGCUGAGGUGCGAAAGCGUGGGUAGCAAACAGGAUUAGAUACCCGUGUAGUC
rnacentral:rRNA from 1 species